AGUUCGGUCCCUAUCCGUCGCAGGCGUAGGAAAUUUGAGAAGACCUGUCCUUAGUACGAGAGGACCGGGAUGGACGUACCUCUGGUGUACCAGUUGUUCUGCCAAGGGCAUGGCUGGGUAGCUAUGUACGGAAUGGAUAAGCGCUGAAAGCAUCUAAGCGCGAAGCCAACUUCAAGAUAAGAUUUCCCACCGCAAGGGUAAGACCCCAGAAAGACUAUCUGGUUGAUAGGUCGAAGGUGUAAGUGCAGCAAUGUAUUUAGCUUAUCGAUACUAAUAGGUCGAGGACUUGACCAA
rnacentral:rRNA from 1 species